AUAAUUUAUACUUUUUCCGUUUGGUUCGGGGUUAAGGAAAAACUAGCUAUUCCAGAGAGUUAAGUUCAGGAUUAAAGUGGGGUUAAAGUUUUUUUGUGUUUGGUUGGGGGUUGGAGUUAGUCUAGAAUAAUGAAAAAUAGUAUUUGGUUGGGUAGGUGGGAUAAGAAGAUAAUAAUUGAUAAAGAAGGAUAAUGAUUGGUUGGAGUACGUAUGAUAAGAAAGAUAGUGGGUUAUUAUGAAUAGAAAAUAGUGUUUGGUUGGAGUUUGGUGGGGUUAGGUGGGUUUAGCUAACCCGGGAUAAUUUAUUUGAGGUGGGGUUAGGUGGGAUUAGCUAAUCCCACCUAUUUUUUGGGAUGUUUGGGGAUAAAAUGGGGGUUAAGGGGGGUUAUUCCACCCCUUAACCCCCAACCAAACAAGGGCUUAAAGAUCAUGUGACAAUGCUAUUAGAGAAAAUUAACGGAAGUAAAACAUAUUUUAUCGGUUGAA
rnacentral:lncRNA from 1 species